rnacentral:rRNA from 1 species
UACAGAGGCCCCAAGCGUUACUGAGAAUUACUGGGUUUAAAGGGUGCGUAGGUGGCGCGUUAAGUCCGUUGUGAAAUCCCUGGGCUCAACCCAGGAAAUGCUUCGGAUACUGGCGUGCUUGAGGCCGGUAGGGGUCACUGGAACUGACGGUGGAGCGGUGAAAUGCGUAGAUAUCGUCAGGAACGCCAAUGGUGAAGACAGGUGACUGGGCCGGAUCUGACACUGAGGCACGAAAGCGUGGGGAGCGAACGGG